GUGAAAUCUGGGAAAACACUGCGAGCUGAGAGUGCGCUUCAAGAAGUGUGCAGAAUUAUAAAACACGUCUAAUAUGUCAGAAAUGCAUCGUGUAUUAACAAUAUAUUUCCGUUUUGUUUGUUUGUUUUUAAAUAUUGUAAUUGAUCAUCAUCAUUAUUAUAGCCUGUUUUUUUAUUAUUAUUAUUAUUUGUACCUUGCAACGGUCAUACUAAUAAGCUGCAGCUUACUUAUUUUCACUUUUUUUACGUAUCAGCCACUGCUGAAGAGGGAGAAGAGGUCGGAGGAGGGCCUCUCACCUCUGUCACUGAGCCUUCAUUCACCCUCAUCACAAUGGAGCCGGACGGUUGUGCCAUGGGAAUGUGAGGUGUUGGUGAUGCUAUUGUUUGCAUGUUCAGCAAAUAUAACUCCUGCAUUACAUCAUGCAACUUUGAAGAUGGAAUGAUAUUUUUAUUCCCAUAUCACAGAUGUUCCUUCAGUUCAACAUUGUAAGGUC